UACAGAGGUCUCAAGCGUUGUUCGGAUUCAUUGGGCGUAAAGGGCGCGUAGGCGGCGUGGUAAGUCAGCUGUGAAAUCUCCGAGCUUAACUCGGAACGGUCAGCUGAUACUGCUGUGCUAGAGUACAGAAAGGGCAAUCGGAAUUCUUGGUGUAGCGGUGAAAUGCGUAGAUAUCAAGAGGAACACCUGAGGCGAAGGCGGGUUGCUAGGCUGAUACUGACGCUGAGUGCGCGAAAGCUAGGGUAGCAAACGGG
rnacentral:rRNA from 1 species